CUGAAACUGCAGCCAUACGUGCAAUGCUCCAUGGUCUCUCGCCCGUGCGCCAAGCUCGCCUUCAAGUUCUUUGGGCCUUACAAUGUGCUGCAGAAGAUUGGAUCAUUGGCGUACAAGCUGAAUUUGCUGCCGGACUACCACGUGCACCCGAUCUUCCAUGUCUCCCAGCUCAAGCCGUUCACGCCAGACUACUCGCCGGUGUUCGCCAACCUUCCCUGUGUCCAAGACCUGUCAGCCACGGCGACCGAGCCCGUCAAGAUACUGGAGAGGCGCAUGAUGAAGCAUGGAGAUGCACCCAUGGUGCAGCUCAAGAUCUAGUGGUUGCCUAUCACAGCGGACUCUACUACCUGGGAGGACUACGACGUUCUUCGCCGGUGAUUUCCGACGGCGGCCAUCUGGGAGGAGGAGGCCUCAUCUUAA
rnacentral:rRNA from 1 species